rnacentral:rRNA from 1 species
CUCUAAAAGGAAUUAUUUUUAGUAAAAUCUGCUCAAUGAAAUUAAAUAGCCGCAGAAUUUUACUGUGCUAAGGUAGCAUAAUCACUAGUCUUUUAAUUAAAGACUCGAAUGAAAGAUUAAUCAUUUUAGAAACUUUUUUAAACUAAAAAAUAAAAUUUAUAUUAAAUAUAAAAAUAUAUUUAUAAAAAAAAUAGACGACAAGACCCUAUCGAACUUAACACUGUUUAGCUGGGGCAGCUAAUUAAACAAAAUUUUAAUUCCAUUAAUUUAUAAAAAUCUCCCAAUAAAAUUGAAAUAAACAAGUUACCGUAGGGAUAACAGCAUAAUUUAUUUUAAAAGCUUUAUUAAAAAAUAAGAUUAUGACCUCGAUGUUGAAUUAUAAUAUCCUUAUAAGCGCAAUAGCCUUAUAGGAAAGUCUGUUCGACUUUUAAAUUUUUACA